AUAUAUGUGUGUGUGUACAUGUACAUGUGAGUAUGUGUGUAUAUGUUUGUACAUGUGCAUGUGUGUGUAUGUGUGAGAAUGUGUAUAUGUGUGUGUAUAUGUGUAUAUGUGUGCAUGUGUGUGUGG
rnacentral:miRNA from 1 species